rnacentral:lncRNA from 12 species
AUGAAAAAAAGAGGAACAGCAAAAAUAGCGUUCGGUGUUUAUUCUGCAGCAAGCCAGUACAGAGGGCAGUACACACUCCGAGCAGCAAGGUUGGCUCUGCCAAGCUUCUUCCAUGGGAAGAACAUUCAGCAUCUCAGCAUUAGCUGCCAGAGCUUUGAACUAUCAGAUGAUUCUGUAGAAGUCUAUGAAGAAAAUAUAUUAAUGACAUCCACUGUACUGAGAGAAGUGUCUGGCAUAAAUUAGAUCCUCAGUCAUUGUUUAUAAAGAGAAGGAACUUAGGGUAAAUUGCUACAAAGAAGUAAUUCUGGAUUAUUUAUGAAAUGAGAAAAAUGGACAUAUGAAAAAAGAGUAGAAGGCAAUUUAUGAAGAUUAAGAAGGUGAGUUUGGCAGAAAGCCAUUUUUUUUUUUUAAUCAGCAACUGAGGAUGAAGUUGCAGGAAGAAAAAUACAGAGUAUAGUAUAUCUCUGUACAUACUAUAUGGAUACUAUCUAGAGGAGCAGGAAUUACCAAGAAUAACAAGCAUAAUAUUGUAG